UACAGAGGUCCCAAGCGUUGUUCGGAUUCAUUGGGCGUAAAGGGUGUGUAGGUGGCCAACUAAGUCGGACGUGAAAUCCCUCAGCUUAACUGGGGAACUGCGUCCGAUACUGGAUGGCUUGAGUUUGGGAGAGGGAUGUAGAAUUCCAGGUGUAGCGGUGAAAUGCGUAGAUAUCUGGAGGAAUACCGGUGGCGAAGGCGGCAUCCUGGACCAACACUGACACUGAGGAGCGAAAGCCAGGGGAGCAAACGGG
rnacentral:rRNA from 1 species